GAGCACGUAGGUGGGUUUGUAAGUCAGAUGUGAAAGCCUUCUGUUCAAAGGAAGAACGGCAUCUGAAACUGCAGAUCUUGAGUGUAGGAGGGGAGAGUGGAACUUCUGGUGGGGCGAUGAAAUGCGUAGAUAUCAGAAGGAACGUCGGCGGCGAAAGCGACUCUCUGGCCUAUUACUGACACUGAGUGUGCGAAAGUUAGGGGAGCAAACGGGAUUAGAUACCCCGGUAGUCCUAACUGUAAACGAUGGGCACUAAGUAGAGGG
rnacentral:rRNA from 1 species